GAGGGUAGAGCUCAGUGGCAGAGCAUGUGCUUAGCAUGCACGAGGUCCUGGGUUCAAUCCCCAGUACUGCCA
rnacentral:tRNA from 1 species